ACGGAGGAUGCGAGCGUUAUCCGGAUUCAUUGGGUUUAAAGGGUGCGUAGGCGGAUUAAUAAGUCAGUGGUGAAAUCCUACAGCUUAACUGUAGAACUGCCAUUGAUACUGUUAGCCUUGAGUUUGGUUAAGGUAGGCGGAAUGUGUAAUGUAGCGGUGAAAGGGUUAGAUAUUACACAUAACACCAAGUUCGUAGGCAGCUUACUGAGCCGACACUGACGCUGAGGCACGAAAGCGUGGGGAUCAAACAU
rnacentral:rRNA from 1 species